GCUCUUGUAGCUCAGUUGGUUAGAGCACCCAUUUAGUAAGCGGGAGGUCUUGAGUUCUACUCUCCACAAGCGCA
rnacentral:tRNA from 1 species